ensembl:lncRNA
AGGUCCCUUAACACAGAAAAUCAUUCCGUGAAAUAUCAAAUAUCAUUCUGUGAAUAGUGUGUCUUCUGUUUAUGUAUUCCUAGCUAUAGAAAGUUUAAGAGAGACCUAAACAAGAAGUUGCAUGGGUAAGGGCAACCAACCAGAAUAAACAGUCUCACACAAGAUGUUGGGAUAACCGAAGGCCACAACUUGUUUAUUGGUUACAAUGAUAACAGGGUUGGCAGCUAUGCAUGGGUCCUGGAUCAAGGAUCUAACAGCCCACUGCUGGCCGAUGCAACAAGAAAACAUCCCUGCCAGAUGAGUUGGGCAAGGUAUUAAAGGCUGGCUAGCAUCCCUGAAGGACAAGUUGUCCGCCAUUACUAAUCAACUCUUUAAAUGCAUACCUUCAGGAAACAGUUUUAGAAAGGUCUGUACACUCAAAUGAGAUAAUGAUUAUCAUCCAAAAGAUUUGGUCAGCUACUCAAAGUUGGGAUCCCUGGACUUUGCCAGUCCUUGAGUUGUUGGUUUCUGGUAUGUUUACAAGAAAGGACACAACUAUGGCACAUUGCUGGUCCCUUACACCAACUAAAUUAUAGCAGUUUGAGAGCACUUCAAUUGGAAUCCUGUAGAAUUGUUGUUUUAUUUUUUUCUCAGUUGGAAAUUUCUUAUUCACUCACCAGAAUAAAUCCCACAUCUCGUCCUGAGGCACAAAGUCGAGGAUUCCAAAGGAUGGUCCCUUGGCAAAUAAGGCAGAUCUUAAUAAUGACUGGGAAGAUUUUCAUCCUUUCUCUAAUAGCAAUGAGUUGCACAACUUUUCAUCUGACUUGACAAAGGACAUUUCAGAUGUCAUUUACAACUUAACUUGAAGACCCAUGUUAUAGGUAGGUGACACCUAGUAUGAUCUUUGCCUAUUAUAAAAUGUGUAAAAUUCCCAAAUUGGUAUUGAUUUAUAUUCUUUACAAUUUGGAAAGGAAAAUAUAUAGGUAGGUUUUCUAUAUUUCAAAAUUAUUUAAAGUCAUUAUUUUGUCUGAUCAGAAUCUUGUUUAAAGUUUAAUUUUCAGAGCUUGAAAGAAUUCAGUUUUGGGCUACAAUUAUUUUGAGCUUCCAAAAUUGAGCAUCUUCAUGUAUUUUCAACGGAGUUGUGUUUUCUUUAGCAACAACAGAAAUACAGGUGUUUUUCAAGUACAGCAUGGCUCCUUAUCCACAGAUUCAAUAUGUAUAGUCUCACUUACCCACGCUCCCAAAAAUAUUCUCCAUAAAUUACUUUUGUGGGGCUAAGUCCUCCACUGCGAUUCUGUGGUAUGCUUUGCGCCCAAGUAUAGGUAAGUAUGAGGUUCACUAUUAUGUAUGGUUUCAGCUAUUCAUAGGAAGUCUUGGAAUAUCUCCUUCAAGGAUACUAUAAUUGUAUCAUCUCACUAGAGCAUUUUUGCCCAUUCCUCAAAGCCCAGUCUUUCUCAUUGCUGAACUGUCCAAUGAAAAUUGAGUGUGUGUAAGUUGCCGUGUAUGGGUGUGUAUGUGUGAGAGAACUUUCAGACAGACAGUAAGGCACAGAUUUCUAAAUUCUGAGAACAGCAAAACCUUUUAUUGCAAAUUAUUUUUUGAUUUUUGUAUUAUCUUUCAGAAGAAGAAUGAAGAUUAUAAGAAUCAAGAUCUUUCUUCCUGCUGAAAGUUCUUAAAAAAUUAAUGUCGUCUCAUGCCCCAAUAAAUUAUUAUUUCUUAUUUAUUCUUUUAAAUUACAAGUAAGGCAGGAAUCUAGGAUGCAAUCUGAAUAAAGUCUACCAUAGUAUUUGGACAGUUCCUUGUCCUUGGGCUUACAAAUGUAAAAAUGCAUGAAACACAAGGAAAAGGGGGAGGGGCAGCUGUGGUGGAAGGGACUAUGUUACUCCUGCUGAGG